rnacentral:rRNA from 1 species
GACGAACGCUGGCGGCGUGCUUAACACAUGCAAGUCGAACGGAAAGGCCCUGCUUUUGUGGGGUGCUCGAGUGGCGAACGGGUGAGUAACACGUGAGUAACCUGCCCCUGACUUUGGGAUAACUUCAGGAAACUGGGGCUAAUACCGGAUAGGAGCUCCUGCUGCAUGGUGGGGGUUGGAAAGUUUCGGCGGUUGGGGAUGGACUCGCGGCUUAUCAGCUUGUUGGUGGGGUAGUGGCUUACCAAGGCUUUGACGGGUAGCCGGCCUGAGAGGGUGACCGGCCACAUUGGGACUGAGAUACGGCCCAGACUCCUACGGGAGGCAGCAGUGGGGAAUAUUGCACAAUGGGCGGAAGCCUGAUGCAGCAACGCCGCGUGCGGGACGACGGCCUUCGGGUUGUAAACCGCUUUCGCCUGUGACGAAGCGUGAGUGACGGUAAUGGGUAAAGAAGCACCGGCUAACUACGUG